UACGGGGGGGGCAAGCGUUGUUCGGAAUUACUGGGCGUAAAGGGCUCGUAGGCGGCCAACUAAGUCGUACGUGAAAUCCCCAGGCUCAACCUGGGAACUGCGUCCGAGACUGGAUGGCUUGAAUCCGGGAGAGGGAUGCAGAAUUCCAGGUGUAGCGGUGAAAUGCGUAGAUAUCUGGAGGAAUACCGGUGGCGAAGGCGGCAUCCUGGACCGGCAUUGACGCUGAGGAGCGAAAGCCAGGGGAGCAAACGGG
rnacentral:rRNA from 1 species